CCUACGGGUGGCAGCAGUGAGGAAUAUUGGUCAAUGGACGAGAGUCUGAACCAGCCAAGUAGCGUGAAGGAUGACUGCCCUAUGGGUUGUAAACUUCUUUUAUAUGGGAAUAAAAUGUUCCACGUGUGGGAUUUUGUAUGUACCAUAUGAAUAAGGAUCGGCUAACUCCGUGCCAGCAGCCGCGGUAAUACGGAGGAUCCGAGCGUUAUCCGGAUUUAUUGGGUUUAAAGGGAGCGUAGGUGGAUUGUUAAGUCAGUUGUGAAAGUUUGCGGCUCAACCGUAAAAUUGCAGUUGAAACUGGCAGUCUUGAGUACAGUAGAGGUGGGCGGAAUUCGUGGUGUAGCGGUGAAAUGCUUAGAUAUCACGAAGAACUUCGAUUGCGAAGGCAGUUCACUGGACUGCAACUGACACUGAGGCUCGAAAGUGUGGGUAUCAAACAGGAUUAGAUACCCUAGUAGUC
rnacentral:rRNA from 1 species